GACGAACGCUGGCGGCGUGCCUAAUACAUGCAAGUCGAACGGGGUUGCACGGCGGAAGCCUUCGGGUGGAAGCUGUGCAGCCUAGUGGCGGACGGGUGAGUAACGCGUGGGCAACCUGCCCUCCAGCCCGGGAUAACUUCCGGAAACGGGAGCUAAUCCCGGAUGCGGAGCAAAGGACGCAUGUUUUUUGCUCGAAAGCUUCGGCGCUGGAGGAUGGGCCCGCGUCCCAUUAGCUAGUUGGUGAGGUAACGGCUCACCAAGGCGACGAUGGGUAGCCGGCCUGAGAGGGUGAUCGGCCACACUGGGACUGAGACACGGCCCAGACUCCUACGGGAGGCAGCAGUAGGGAAUCUUGCGCAAUGGGCGAAAGCCUGACGCAGCGACGCCGCGUGAGGGAAGAAGGCCUUCGGGUCGUAAACCUCUGUCCUUGGGGACGAUGAUGACGGUACCCAAGGAGGAAGCCCCGGCUAACUACGUG
rnacentral:rRNA from 1 species